AGUCGGUGAGGUAACCUUCAUGGAGCCAGCCGCCUAAGGUGGGACAGAUGAUUGGGGUGAAGUCGUAACAAGGUAGCCGUAUCGGAAGGUGCGGCUGGAUCACCUCCUUUCUAAGGAUAAUUACGAGAGCGCUUUUGUUUUGUUCAGUUUUGAAUGAGUAAUUCAUUCAAAUAGGAAAGACAGUCAUCACGAUGUGAUGGAUUCUUUCUGCUUUGUUCCUUGAAAACUAGAUAAUAGAUAGAAGGCAAUUAAUUUUUUUCAAAGCAUCUGUAAGAUCUUUUUUAACGGUUAAGUUAGAAAGGGCGCACGGUGGAUGCCUUGGCACUAGGAGCCGAUGAAGGACGGGACUAA
rnacentral:misc_RNA from 1 species